UACAGAGGGUGCGAGCGUUGUCCGGAAUCACUGGGCGUAAAGGGCGCGUAGGUGGCGACCCAAGUCGAUGGUGAAAGCUCGCCGCUCAACGGCGAGUCGGCCACCGAUACUGGGUUGCUGGAGCACUGUAGAGGCAGAUGGAAUUCCGGGUGUAGCGGUGGAAUGCGUAGAGAUCCGGAAGAACGACCGGUGGCGAAGGCGGUCUGCUGGGCAGUUGCUGACACUGAGGCGCGACAGCGUGGGGAGCAAACAGGG
rnacentral:rRNA from 1 species